rnacentral:rRNA from 1 species
GGCAGGCCUAAUACAUGCAAGCCGAACGGCAAGUUGAGUAGCAAUACUUGACCUAGAGUGGCGUAAGGGUGCGUAACACGUAUGCAAUCUGCCCACAACAGGAGGAUAGCUCCCCGAAAGGGGAAUUAACCCUCCAUAGGAUCACACGAAGGCAUCUGAGAGUGAUUAAACCAAAAGGGGUUGUGGAUGAGCAUGCGGUUGAUUAGCUAGUUGGCGGGGUAACGGCCCACCAAGGCGAUGAUCAAUAGGGGAACUGAGAGGUUUAUCCCCCACACUGGCACUGAGAUACGGGCCAGACUCCUACGGGAGGCAGCAGUAGGGAAUAUUGGACAAUGGGCGAGAGCCUGAUCCAGCCAUGCCGCGUGCAGGAAGAAGGCCUUCUGGGUUGUAAACUGCUUUUGCCAGGGGAUAAAAGACCCGUGCGCGGGGAAUUGAAGGUACCUGGUGAAUAAGCCACGGCUAACUACGUGCCAGCAGCCGCGGUAAUACGUA